ensembl:rRNA 5S_rRNA 5S ribosomal RNA
GUCUCAGGCCGUAUCAGCCUGAAGGGGCCCGAUCUCGUCUAAUCUCAGAAGCUAAGCAGGGUCGGGCCUGGUUAGUAUCUUGGAUGGGAGACCACCUGGGAAUCCCGGGUGCUCGAGGCU